CCUACGGGUGGCAGCAGUGGGGAAUAUUGGUCAAUGGGCGCAAGCCUGACCCAGCAAUGCCGCGGGAAGGAAGAAGGCUUUCGGGUUGUAAACUUCGUUGACAGGUGAAGAGCAUAAGACGGUACACCGAAAACAAGCCACGGCUAACUACGUGCCAGCAGCCGCGGUAAUAGGUAGGUGGCAAGCGUUGUUCGGAUUUACUGGGUGUAAAGGGCGUGUAGCCGGGAAGGCAAGUCAGUUGUGAAAUCUGGAGGCUCAACCUCCAAAUUGCAUUUGAAACUGUUUUUCUUGAGUACUGGAGAGGCAGACGGAAUUCCUUGUGUAGCGGUGAAAUGCGUAGAUAUAAGGAGGAACACCAGUGGCGAAGGCGGUCUGCUGGACAGCAACUGACGGUGAGGCGCGAAAGCGUGGGGAGCAAACAGGAUUAGAUACCCUGGUAGUC
rnacentral:rRNA from 1 species